GACAAUGUCUCAACCAUGCUAGCCUAGAAUC
rnacentral:piRNA from 1 species